GCUUGUCUCAAAGAUUAAGCCAUGCAUGUCUAAGUAUAAGCAAUUAUACCGUGAAACUGCGAAUGGCUCAUUAAAUCAGUUAUCGUUUAUUUGAUAGUACCUUACUACUUGGAUACCCGUGGUAAUUCUAGAGCUAAUACAUGCAAAAAACCCCGACUUCUGAAGGGGUGUAUUUAUUAGAUAAAAAACCAAUGCCCUUCGGGGCUCUUUGGUGAUUCAUGAUAACUUAACGGAUCGCAUGGCCUUGCGCCGGCGACGGUUCAUUCAAAUUUCUGCCCUAUCAACUUUCGAUGGUAAGGUAUUGGCUUACCAUGGUUUCAACGGGUAACGGAUUUUUAGGGAAAGAUCCCGGAGAGGGAGCCUGAGAAACGGCUACCACAUCCAAGGAAGGCAGCAGG
rnacentral:rRNA from 1 species